rnacentral:tRNA from 1 species
GCUUUGGCUCAGGUGGUAGAGCAAUUGAUUCGUAAUCAAUAGGUCGAGGGUUCGAGUCCCCCAAGCA